GAGGGUGUAGCUCAGAGGCAGAACACAUGCCCAGUAUGCACGAGGUCCUGGGUUCCAUCCCCAGUACCUCCA
rnacentral:tRNA from 1 species